AUUUAUAUAGUUUAAUAAAACAUUACAUUUUCAUUGUAAAAUUAGAUUUAUUUAUCUUAUAAAUA
rnacentral:tRNA from 1 species